GCCAUUUGUCCAAUUUGAAGGUUGAUUUUGGAAGGUCAAUGUUUAAUUCAUGAGUAAUGACGUCAAACUACGCACAAUGCACUUGUAUGAUUGGAUAAAACGCUAAUGUUUUAUUCAUGUCUCAUGCAUUAAACAUUUUUUUCCGUCCCACAAUUCCCUACGAUAUCUAUGCGAAGUGUCGUUCUUUUUGAUUCUGCGAAAUUCAACUUUUUGAAAUACAAUAGCAAGUCUAAUUAUCUGUUUUUAGAAUUGAUGUUUGAAAACAUUAUUUCUGAGUGAACUUCAAAGGAGCAGAAAAUCUUGGAGGAAACAUUAAUGUCAAUCUAAUGACAUUCCAUAGGAAUAAAAAUCCAGUGGGAGUCAGAAGUACAAAGUCAAAUACCAUUUGCACAUCACCAAGAGGUACAAUCUGAUGAGUAACAGGAUAUCUGAUCUAAAAGCUUGCCAGGUUUCACAAGCUGUUUGAGUAUCACCAGGGCAGAUCAAGAAGAAAUAUGAAGGCCAGGUUCAUAACAAGCAGUUUCUUCAUUGCAAUUACAGAUUUAAAAACUUGAAUGA